GCACCGAUAGCUCAGGGGUAGAGCGAGGUUGGUCAUAUGACUUCUAGUCCUAGGUCGGGCGUUCAAAUCGCCCUCGGUGCU
rnacentral:tRNA from 1 species